AACGAACGCUGGCGGCAUGCCUAACACAUGCAAGUCGAACGAGACCUUUGGGUCUAGUGGCGCACGGGUGCGUAACGCGUGGGAAUCUGCCCUUGGGUUCGGAAUAACAGUGAGAAAUUGCUGCUAAUACCGGAUGAUGUCUUCGGACCAAAGAUUUAUCGCCCAGGGAUGAGCCCGCGUAGGAUUAGCUAGUUGGUGGGGUAAUGGCCUACCAAGGCGACGAUCCUUAGCUGGUCUGAGAGGAUGAUCAGCCACACUGGGACUGAGACACGGCCUAGACUCCUACGGGAGGCAGCAGUGGGGGAUAUUGGACAAUGGGCGCAAGCCUGAUCCAGCAAUGCCGCGUGAGUGAUGAAGGCCUUAGGGUUGUAAAGCUCUUUUACCAGGGAUGAUAAUGACAGUACCUGGAGAAUAAGCUCCGGCUAACUCCGUG
rnacentral:rRNA from 1 species